GACGGGGAGGGAAAUCUUCAAAAUACUCCCCGUCUCCCUGCCUCCCUGUGAAUACUCCCCG
rnacentral:misc_RNA from 1 species